rnacentral:lncRNA from 1 species
GGCUUGCGGCUGCUGCGGUCCCUCCGCCAAACUCACACACAGUCCCGCGGAAAAACAUGUGUGGACACGAUUUUGCCCCACUCCAGGCCGGCGUCAUACCCGUGUGCGCCAUACCCGUGUGCGGGCAACCGGCAACCUUCCAAUCCAGGUGCUGGUCCCCUCGCUCGCCAGCAAACACAUCAACCCGUUUUGACCUCGUCCCAAACACGCACAAGGCCGCGCCCUACCCAGCUCACAUGACGACCGCCUGCAGGAACUGCUCCGCAUCCCGCUCCGUUAGGCUCAGCCCUACCACCACGCGCGUGUGCGAGUCUUGAGUGCCCUCGCCCGCAACCCCUGCAUGAGCGUGGCCGCCCGGCACCGCUGCAGCCCCUGCCACCCCGGCCGCACUGCCAGCAUCCGCCCCGGCCAGACCUGGACUACCUGCACUUGUGCCAGCUCCCUGGAUGCUACCGGCGCCGCGCCCUGGCGUCCCGUUAGCCCAGCUAGCACUUGGCCCAGCGCCGGCACUGCUGCCUGCGGCUGCUUCGGUUGCUGUGGCAGAGCCUGCGGCCGGUCUGGGCGCCCGGCCCUUGCGUGCACGGGCGCGCUCUACCUCGCGCUUCACCGGGGCCACCACCUCCUCCACCUCGUCACUGCCGUCCUCCUUCCCGUCCUUGUCCCCAGCAGCUGCUUCCGCCUCCGGCCCCUCCAGCAGCAGCUGACCGCCCGCCGCCACCGCCCCAUGCUGCUGCCCCGCGCGCUGGUCCGCCGGCUCCUCACGGAUGGUUGCGCGCACCACCCGCGGCGCCUGCUUCUUGCUGUUGGGCCCGCCACCACCGCCGCCGCGCAGCACGGUGUCGAACAACUUGCGCAGCACCGGUAGCACCGCGCCUGGGGAGCAGGGUCAACGGACAGGUGUCGACAAUUAUGGUAAUACCGGCGGGCAGAAGCCACCAUCACCCGUUGCCAACCCGUCCAACCACCCCCGUAAAGCCGGUGGGCACGUUUGAUUGCUUAACGACUACCCACCGGUGACCAGAUGCAGCCGGUAGAACCGAGAGCCGUAGUUGCAUCGGCCGUCCCGCUUGCGGCGCACGCACUCGCCGCCGUGCAGGCAGCCGGUGUCCAGGUAGGCGUACCAGAAGGCCCAGUGCAGCUCCGCGGUCUGGGAGGAGGUGGCGGUGGUGGUGGCCAUUGGCAGGGGGUUGCCGGCAGGGGGUUGCUGGUGGAGGCAACAUUACUGACGGGUCAUGACCAUCCAGCCUUACUAGUUUUUUUUUGAGGAGUCAUCCUUACAAGGUUGAACUAGUAACAGCAGCACGCUCCAAGCGGUUCCCACGGGGCCUAGUCGUUGGUGGCAGGCACAUCGUCGUCCUGCUCCUGCACCCUCUACCUUUCGCCAUCCUCCUCCCCCGCUCACGCGCCCUCUCUCACCUGCUCGUCCACCUUGCGGUACUUGUCCUCCAGCUCGUGCAGCGUGAACAUGUAGCCCUUCACCUGGCCAGGGAGGGGGCAGGAGGAGAGAAUGGUUACAGGGCAGGGGUUUGGGACUGCGGGUGGGUAUGGGCGCACGCGCAGUCCACCAGGGAGCACAUGACACGCCUUCAGUCACCAAGCGGAGACUGGAAAAAGCACGCUCCAGGCCCAGCUUUCCCAGCCUCAAGACGUCCUGUCUAGUCCCGUCUUUUAUUCCCCAGCCCAUGUAUCCCAACCGCCCUCUCAACUCCGCAGCGCCAACCCCGGCCCCAGCCCCACGCACCUGGUUAGGGCGCUGGAUCCUGAAGCGCUGCGCCAGCCUGCUGCCCAGCACGGUCUGGCGCAUGGCGGUGGCCAGCACCACCAGCGGGUGCCCGGUGCCGCCCACGUUGGCGUUCCGGCGCGCCACGUAGAAACCCACCUGUGGCCAUGACCAGUCGCAGGAAGAGCAGGGCAAGUGUGAACACUUGACAGAAAGGCGGGCGAAGGCGCAGGCGCAAUGACCCAUGGUGUGCGCAUGAUGCCAUGACAGCCGACACGAGCGUCAGAGCAGUGGGGCACAGCGUUCCGCAGGGCCUCGCACACCAUGCCAGAUGUGGUUGAAGCUACAAGGCAAGGAUGAACAACGCACUGCGGUUCCCGCCUCCGCACCUUGUUCACGAUGCGCGCAGGCGCCCGCUCCGCUGCCAUGUCUUCCCGCGCCGCCGCCAGCGCCGCACACGCCGCCGGCCACGACAGCCCGUCGUCCACAUCUAACUCCAUGUAGUGCGUGGUGGCGCCUUUGUGGAGGUCAGGAUGGACGGCAGGUGGCGGCAUUUGAUGAACGACAAAAGCUGAUCAGGGGGUAUAUCCCCCCAUCCGCCCACUCCACCUCCCGCCCGCCCGCCUGGCCCACCCCACCUGACGGCGUGUCCACGUGCACCUGGUGCUGCGCCACCACCUUGACGGCGCUGUGCCCGAUGUUCACAAUGGCCUCGUCGUAGUCGCCGGCGGAACGGGCCUGAGAGGACACGUGUGUUUGUUUGCGGGCGUGUUUAUAUUUGGGCAGCAGGACAGAGUGCUUGCAGCGGGUCGCGAACGGUUGGGUACUUGUACCGUAUGUACGGCCCUUACGCUUCACCCUCUCCCACGCCCUGCCCACCUGCUUGACCAGCGAGUCCAUGAUGCCCAGGAAGUACCCGAACAGCAGCUCCUGGUCCCGCAGCGGCAAGCCCAGCAGCCGGUUCAGGAACUUGGGGACGCCCGUGGCCUGGGCGGUGAUGGAGCGGGGCGAAAUCGGAACGUUGGGCAGAGACCGUGGGAGACCCCUCUCACACACCACAUAUGCCCACCUGGUCCUUGCGCUCCACGCUGUACGCCACGUGACCGCCGGGGCUGUGCAUGUUGGUGGGGGCAAAGCAGCUCAGAGGCGCUCAAGAUUUUAGGGCAUGGGCAUUUGAUGGUGUGAUGCAGUGGCGAGCAGGUUGCUUUCAUCCUGUUGCGUAAUCCUAGACAGAACAGGUUCCCCGCUCCUCCCGCUCGGGACUCACAGGCUGGUGGCUGCCAGCAGUCCCAUGCUCCGCAGGCAGCGCUGCAUGUGGGCCAGGAAGGCGCGCUGACGGGCCGCGCUGCCCGGCGGCGUGGCGGCCACGUCUGGGGGCAGCAGCUCGGAAGGCAGCUCGCCAGGCUGCGGAGGGAGCGGGGGGCGGUAAUUGGCGUGGCAUUCUGGCCCUGCACCCAUGUCUUUGCAGCAUGUAAUACCCAAGUCCACGAAGGGCAUACUGCUCGUUACCUUCUCCCCUCCACACACAUACCUUGCUUCCCGCCACGGUGUGCACCCCGCUGGCCACGCACUCCAGUACCCGCUGCACAGCCGCCUCGCCGUAUCUGUGUGUACAUUUGUGUUGCAUGUGUACCGCAGGGCAAAAAGAAAGAUGACAAACGCCGACUGUAUGCAUAAUCCCGUCAGUGUAGCGGAGCAAGCAGGCAUCGGCGCAAAUGCUGAGCAGGGCAGUACCGCAGUGUACCGGCGCAGGAGGCACACGUGCCAUGUCCGUGGCGCACAUACCCUUGCGUGCACCCCCAACUGCAUGCCUGAUGCCACCUCCCUCCCGCCGCCGCGCACCUGUUGUCGACGUCGUAGGGCUUGAGGUCGGAGCUGGCGCCCAGCGCGCGGCGGUCGCCCCGCAGCAGCGCGCCCAGGGACGUGAGGCGCUUGGCCACUGCGCCCGCAAACCUGAGGGCACAUGGAGCGUAAGGUGCGGGGUGCGAGUUGUUGAGAAGAUGUUGAACACCACUCCUUAGGAGUACACGUGAUGCCAUGCGCGUAGAAACGCGACGGACGCAAAGCGCGGCCAAGGAGGGCGCCUGUGGGCCGGGGUUCCAAGCGAGUUACACUCCAGGAAAAGGCGGGUCCCCAGGGACGCCCAAUUUUGAGGCCCGUUCAGUUCUGGCUCAAUCGCAAGGCAGGCUGCUACCUAUACCUGUGGCUCGUGCUUGACGUGCUAUGUUCGAAGUCAUGGUCUUGCCUAAUCAUUCAGCUGCAAAGCGUAGCCCGUGCCGCCCAAUUGCCGCAUGUGACGUGUCCCGGCGAACGCGACAACUAGAACGUCGACUUCAGCCCCGGUCCAGUUUAAUGCCCCGGACCUAUCUUAGUGACCGAUGUAUGCAACCAAGUGCUACACAAAUGGUUACGGACUGGGAAUACGAGCGGUCCCUAGGGCCGUGGCGACGACCUGGGCCGCAGGAGGGCUCAGUGAAAUGGUGGCGCAGCUAGGGCGGACCUGGGUUGAGACUGCAAUCAUACAUGACCGCUCACCUGUAUUCGCCGCCGCACUUGGUGACCAGCAAGCAGUACUCCGGCGCCGAUGCCUGCGUAGGGGAGACGGAACGAAGGGAGGCGAGGGGAGCGGGUGGCACACCAGAGGGCUAGGGAUCGCACCAAGCGGACGGAACCGGUCCGCGAUGUGCUUAAAAGCGCAUGGCCAUACGGUAGCAGGCCGGGGCCGGGCCGCUACACCCACCCACCUGGUUGGAGCGGUGUGAGCGCCCGAACUGUUGGAUGGCCUGUGAAAGCGGAAGGCACGACCGCAGGAGGGAGAGUCGGGCUGCUGUGCAGACCUGGGUAAGUCUGCGAGCCGUAUCUAUCCAAGGCCACGGCCCCGUAUCACGCACCAGGAGGCCCAGAGCCCCGACUCCACCAGUCCCGCUGUGCGAGCCCCCCUGCCCCACCUUGUCCGCCGACCAGGGGAGUUCCAGCGUAACGUGGAAGCGCCGCCGCUGGUUCGCCACCCUGCAAGCAAGCACGCGCGCCACGAGCGGAAGGGCGAUGUGCAAAUCGGCACGACUUCAGGAAGGUGCAGGCGAAAGGUGAAGAGCGUAUGUGUGCAUGCUCACCAUGCCACACUUUCCGAGGCACGGCAUGUACACAACACGAAAUCAGGCAGAGCACAGGCUCCACCUACCAAACUCCAUGACAUCCGUCCGUUUGCGUCAACUUGGCAAAUGACAACUUGUAAUGCCCCGAAGCCCUCAGCCUUGCCGUUCUGCGCCCCGAGAGCCCCCGAGGCGACAUUUAUCGCCGGCGCCGCUCGCCCUGCUGCUCCGCGACGCCUCGGCCCACAUCCCAUAAGUAUUAUCGCUCGCAACUAACGCCUCUGCCUGCACUCCAGUUUUCGUUGGUUUGGGGUUUAGUUUGGGCUGGUAUUUACAACCCCACCUGCGGUCCGCCUGCAGACUGAUGCCGGUGGACGCCGCGUCGCUGAUCACCGCCACCAGCUUGCGGCCGCUCAUGAAGUCUUCCUUCUCCGCCAUGUUAACCAUCUUCUGGGCCUCGUCGUCGCGGCGUUGCUGUUGCCGGCCAAUGUGGAGGAAGCGACGGCGGAGCGGGGAGUUGGGAUAAGGCGAAAAUGGUCAGUGGAGGGAAGUGAGCCAGCCAACUAAAAUCCCCCGCGAGAAGGCGGCCCUAGCCAGCAGUUGCACACAAUAGUCGUGCCGUUGACUUGAUGUUCAGCUAACCAUCGCAAACCCAAGCCGUACCGUACGAGCCAUGUCCACCCCGUAACACUCGUGCGACCCUCGAGACAAAGUAUUUGAUCGGAAUACUCGUGAACCGGCUAGAGCUAUCCGCCCUAUCCCACCUGCACCCGCCGGCCGUGCCACUCACCACGCACACCACGCGGCCGGUCUCCUCGUCUCGGACCUGCGCCACCUUGCGCCCCGUCAUCUCCGCCACAGCCUCGGGGCCGCCCAGCAGCUCCAGCAGCUGGUCCAGAGGGUUCAGAGGAAGCUGCAGCAGAUGGGGCAAGCGGGGGCGAAGCCGGGUGUACAGGAAUGAAGAGCGAACCGGGACACUGGGCACAGCAUAUAGGUGUCAAGUUGCGGAAUGUGAGCAAGCAGUGUCGAUCCGUCCGGGCCACAUCUGCAUCCACACCCGCGUCGUUAGCAAUGCCAUCAGCCGCCACCACCGCUCACCUCCUGCGCAUCCAGCAGCCGCAGCAGCAUGGCCCGGCACUUGCGCAGCUCCGGCGGCAGUGCCGCGCCGCCCGCCUCCUGACCUCCUGCUUCCCCACCUGGACCGCCACGGCCCCGCGUGCGCCGCCGCUCCCGCAUGCGCUCGUCCUCCUCGUCAAUCAGCUCUACGCCGCCGUCACUGUGGUCAGCCUCGCCCUCACCGCCGCCUUCCUCCCCGCCCUCCGUCACCAGCGACACGCUGCUGUCGUCCGAGUCGUCAUCAGAGUCGGAGGAGCCCUCGUCAGAGUCAUCAUCAUCAGGGCCGCUGCUAUCGCCAGCGCCUGCCGUACGCCGCUUCUGGUGGCGAACGUUGCCCUUCACACCUUGCGUCUUGCCCUUGCCCUUGCCGCCGGCGACCUUUUUGCUCUGGCCUUUGCAGCGGCUGCCUCCGCCUUCAGCGGCAGCAGCUCCGCUGUCGUCACCGCCGCCACCCGGCGCGGCCCAGCUUCCAGGCAGCUUCCCCAACGGCUUGGCUUUCGCGGCGUGACGGUACUUGGUUGGGUCGGGCUGGCGGGCCAAGCGCUGGGCCUCAGCCGCUGCCGCGUCCUCAUCACUAGCCGCAUCCUCCUCCUCGGAGCUGCUGCUGCCACUGCUGCUGCUGCUGCUGCCACUGCUGCUGCUGCUGGCUGCCUCCGACUCCGACUCCGAAACCUCCUCCUCGGAGCCGUCAUCGUCUUCAUCAGAGGCGCUGCUACUGCUGUUGAUGCUGCCAGCGGCCGCCUGCUUCUUGCCCCGCCCUCUCCCCGUGGCCUUCGCCUUGCCCCCGCGGGCGUGCUUGGCUGCCCGCUUUCUCCCAUUCGCCUUGUCCUUGCCCUCAUCCACCUGCUCCUCCUCUUCUUCCGAGCUCUCCUCCUCGUCGUCCGCGGUGACGCUGCGGCUGCGGGUGCGGCCACGGCGGCCACCGUUCGCUGCCGCAGCUGCGGCUGCCGCAAGCGCACGGGUGAAAUGCUCCAGGUCGCGCUCCGCGGCGGCGGCGCGAGUCGCCGCGUCCUUCAGCCGCUGCCGCACUAUGCGCAGCUGCAUGCGAAUCUGGUCGGGAUGAUGAGAAUGAGCGCGGGCGCAGGGGCAACGACGCGGCGCGGCGCGGAGUAAGUUGUUUAGCGGGCAGUGCCGGCGCGCGGAAUAGAUACGGUUGUGAACGACAAAAGGCAAUGGUUGUGGCCGCCCAUCAACGUUCACUUGCUUUUGUACAUAAACCGCAAAAGGCGGGUAAUCGGUGUGCCUUCGCUGGACUGCAAGUCAUACAAUCCGCUGUACGCGCAGCCGAUGCACGACCGUUCUUCCUUACCUUACCCACGGCCAGGUUCGCAGUGGGGCCAGCGGGUGCGCCGCCCUUGGCCGCCGCAGCAGCGUCCUCGUCCUCAUCCUUGCCCUCGCCCGCAGCAGAGCUGGCUUCAGCCUCGCUCGCCUCCUCGCCGUCCGCAGACGGCGUGCCGGCACGCCCCCGCCGCGCCGACGCACUGGUGCCGCGCCACUGCCCUCUCCCCUUGCCGGUCAUCCCGGCGCGCAAACCUCUCGCGCAACCACCAGCACUGGCGCCGGCACCGCCUCUCACUCUUACUUGCACGGCGCCUUUCGUCAGCCGCCCACCGCGCUUGCCGCGAGGUGGCAAUGCCCCCGCCUCCUCCUGCUCCUCCCCACUCGCUGUGGCGUGGCUGCUGGUGCGGCACUCCAACCCCUCCUCAUCCUCCUUCGCGCCCCCAUCCGCUUCCGUGUUCAACUCCAUCGCAGAAGCCUGCCGCCUGCCACCACCCGCCGCCGCCGACUUGCCGCUGCUAGGCUCACCGUUUGCCCGGGCGCCGGUGGCUGCGGCGAAGGACUCCAGUACCGUCUUUAGGCGCUUUGGUUGGCGGGCUUGAUUUGCGCCGGCGCCACCCUCCUCUUUGGAGUCACCGUCCUGAAGCGGGCCCUGCUGGACUGGCCCCGCUGUUCCGGCUGCAGCCGCCAGCCCUGUCGCGGCCUGCUCCCCCCCGUCGCCCGCCUUGCGCUUCACGCCAGCGGAGGUGGAUGGGGCCGCUGCUGGUGCGGCUGCCGCAGCAGCUCCUGCAGCGGCCGCCUGGGCCACAUCUGAGGCAGUGCACUUGGGGCAGUGCCAGUCAUCGUCCGGAAUUUCCUAUGAAUGCACGUGUGGAAUUAUGGGGAGGUUGUAAAUACCAGCCCAAACCAAGCGAAACUAGCGGAGCACAGGCAUAUGCGAAAGAUGGAGGGUGAUGAAGGGAAGGAGCGAUGGCAGCCAGCGCACUACGAAUGCCCCUGCGCCGCGAAAGCCCACACACGACUCCAAUCCCAGGCAAAUCACAAAUCCAUUCACGCGCCCUUACCUCCAGUGGCGGGUCCAGGCAGGCCAUGUGGUAGCCCGCAUCACACGUGUCGCACAGCAGGAUGCUGGCGGGGUCAUCACCGCCGCCGCAUCGCGCGCAAAGCGUGUCGUCGUAGCCCUCAUCCUCGUCCUCAUCUUCAUCUGCACAGUCAUCACCAGCCUCAGCUGCCGUUCCCGCCUCCGAGGCCUCGGCACCGUCGUCUUCGUCUGCGCCUUCGCCUUCCGCCUCCUCCUGCGCAUGCACCGAACGCCAGUCGUCGAUAUGGCAUUGACCAAUUACACACGGCGACCACCCCAUCGCCUAGCCAGCUGACGCGCACCCCUCCACAUACCUCGGCCUUGUCGCGCCUCCGCGCCUUUUCCGACGUCUUCGCCUGCGCUGCUGCCUCGGCCUGCCGCGCCGUAUCCGGCGCCGCCCGCGCACCGCCCCCUGGCUGCUGCUCCUGCGCCCCCUGUGGCCCUGGCUGCCCUGGCUCCGCCUGCGGAGGCGGUGGCUGCUCGGCGUCUUCCUUCAGCUCUGUGGCGGGCUGGUACUCGGACUCGUCGGGGUUGGAGAUUUCUUCACCGAUGCUGCUCACGUCAUCGUCUUGGUCGCCAUCGCCAGCAGCAUCAGCUGCAGCGCCGUCCCCGGCAGCUGCCAGUUCAGCGGCGGCAGGGGCUCCCUGCGCCACCGCCCGUCCAGAUGGCUGCUGCUCGUGCUGCAGGCCUGCAGCGGCUGCUGGGGGCAUGCCGGACCCGGCGCCCGUGCCCGCGUCCUCGUCCUGUGGUGCGGGACAAGUGGUCAUCUGCCAAUCAAGCCCACAGGCAUAGCCCUUGACAUACGGAUGCAGAGCAAAGCGCGAACUGGCAGCUGCCGGCAACACACAGUCACCUCCAGUCAUGCCCAUGUACAUGCCACUCACCUCUGAGCUGUCAUCAAUGAUGAUAACCGAGUCCGACUCCGCCUCAGCCGCCGGGCCCGCAGCAGCACCGUCAGCAGCAGGCUUUGCGGCCCGCUUCAAUGCCCCUGCCUCCAACUUCACAGCCGCACCCGCCUUGGCCGGAGGCGCUGAUGGCCCUCGUGGCGGCUUCGGCGGAAUCGGCUCACCACGGUUGAUGGCGUCAAUGCGAGCCGCCGCCAUCUGCGCCGCACGGCGCGGCCGCAGGGCUCCGUCGGCCGCUGGGGCCUGGUCAGCGCCCUCUGCAGAACAGAAUAGGAGUUGCCAGCACCUCACAUAGAAACAACGAAGCGUGUCAGUUGGCAGUGUCAACAAACGGCAAGGAGCAAGGAAGCAUUUGUGUUUCGCACGGCGCCCUCACCUGCAUACACGGUUGAGUCGGUUGAGGCCGUCAUCGCUACGUUGCCCAUCUUGCUCUUGGAUGCAACCUUGGCACCGAUGGCCUUGGGCGCUGGUUUCUUGGAGGCGGCCGACUUUGAGGCGGGAUUUCCCUCGACUUUGGUGGCACCCAGCUCCGUAUCCUCGUCCUCGUCUUCAUCGACCACGGCGGCGCCGCGCCUACAGGCAGAUUUGUGCGGGAAUGUAGCAAGUUGGGCUGAGCGUGGUGGUGACUGGUCGCAAAGGAUCGGUGCCACGGUCGCGGAUCAAGUGGGGUGGUUGAAAACAGCACGGCAGUGCGCUAAUGACGGUCCGAGCGCACCUGCGGCCCUUCGCUGGCGCGGUCUUGGCACCUCUUCCGCUGGGACCCGCCGCGCCGCCGGUCUCGCGCCGGGCUGCGAACAUGAGCGAAUGAUACCGCACCGUCACGAACACGUCACCACCGACCAAAUAAUGGCAUAUGGGGCCGCGAGGGCCGCGGUUCAUGUCCUCCAGCAGUGCACUCCCUCACGCACCUGUCGUCAUUCACCUACCUCGCACGUGACGCGCCUCCUCCUUCUUGUCCUCAUCCCCAUCGCUCACAUCAUCUUCCAGGUGCGCCUCGCCAUCAAUUGUGCUGCCGCCACGGCUGCCUGGCUUGCCGCCUCCCUCCUUGUCAGCCUUGCCCCGCCCCGCGCCUCCCGCCGCCACUUGUGCUGCUGCUGCUGCCGUGCCAGCUGCAACAGCAGUUGCAGGGGCGGGCAAGCCACCACGCGAGUUGGCGCCGGCUGCUGCCGUCUCCUCUGCGGCCUCCAGCUCCUUCACCUGCUUCUGCAGGUCCUCCAGCAGCGAGCGAGCCUCAGCCUGGGGACAGGGAGAGAAGCAUACGGUCAGGCACAAGAUGGCAAUAAGCGGAGGCGCUGACACAAGCGUUAGGCGCAGUGGCGCACACGCAUUGGGUCAGCAACACGCGGCGCCCGAGCGGCACGGGCAACAUCUGAGCCCGACACAUGCCCCAGCGCCCAGGCCGUAGAGUGUAUUCGCUACCCUCGUCCUGUCCUGUCCUCUACCCACCAGCGCGGUCUGCAGCUUGGCCCGGCGCUCCUCCUGCCGCCGCGUCUCCGCCGCCGCCGCCGCAGCCAUUUCCUCCGCGUCCGCCUGCUCCAGCAGCCGCCGCCACUCUGCAUCUCGCUGUGCGCGCAUGCUCUGCACCGCGCCGCCCGCUGCUCCGGCUGAGCCGUAUGCUCCGGCGCCAGCGGCUGCCCCCCCGGCUCCACCAGCCCCUGCUGCCGCCUCGUCAUCGGUGUCAUCGGCCAGGUCAAUGAGGUCUCCGGCCAGGAUGGCCAGGCGCCGGCGUUCCUGUAGAGGCAGUGCAGGGGUUUGGACAGGGGAAUGUAGCUUGCAGACGUGGCAAUCAUGCAUCCGUGUUUGACACAUGAAAGCACCUACCCUCUACCCGCCACUCACCGCCAGCACUUGGUCCAGGGAGCGCUCGCCCUCCAUGACCACAUCGUCCGCGUCAGACUCGUGCGCUGGCGGCUGCGGUUUCCGACCGGCAGCGCCGCCAGCGGCAGCACCAGCACCCGUGUCCUCGGCUACAUCGCUAGCGGGCGUGCCAAUGCCAUCAGUUGCGCCGACGUCUGCCAUCUCCACAUCCCCGCUGCCGGCCCGUGCCGCUGCCACCACGCCGCCUCCCUGAUCGUCUACAUCCAUGGCGUCAGGCGCCUGCUCCUGCAUCCGGGCCGGAGCCGUCUCCGCCUCCCUUUCGGCCGCCUCGUCCUCGUCGUACCGCGGCCGUCGCCCCAGUCGCCGCGCCGCGCCGUAGGCGGACGUGGCCGCCUCGGCCGUGCCUGCACCCACCCCCACGGCGGCGGCAGUGGGCGAGGUGCCGGCGGCGGCCGCGGCGGCUGCGGCGGUGCGCUGCUCGCGGACAAGCCGGGCGGCCUCCAUUGCGGCCAGCUGUGGGGCAAGGAAGGAAGAUGUUUCCGUCCAUACCUCAACACACGUGCGCGGGGCUCAGACCGGACGAGACCGUAUGCACCGCUCCUGCUUUCUAAGCCCCUCUGCCCCACAGCCAUCAGCGCUCACGUAGCGGCAACCAUGCCACCAAGCGGCCUGCCGCUCACCCGCUUCUCCUGCUUGACCAUCUUCAUCGCCUCCUCCUCGCAGGAAGGCAGCUGCCGCCACUCCACACACACGCGAUAGAUCUGCAGAGGGUGGCGUGAAACGGAGCGGGAGUCACAUCUUCAACACCGGUAGUCAAGACGGGUACAACUUGAACAACUCGUGCCCACAUGCCAACUCGCCACCCACCUCAGCCUGAAGUUUCUGCAUGCUGCGCUUGUCCAUGAGGGUGCCCACCGGCACCGUGAAGUGGAACAGCCACUGACUAAUAAAGUUCUAUGGGCAUAUGCGCAGCAAGGAAGGUGGGGGUCAGACGUAGACUCGGAUGGGACAGUGAAUUGUGGGUCGGGGCGUAGACGGAGGACAGGUAGGCAGCACGUGCACGUGCAGGUGCAGGCAUAGAUGCAGUGGCGCCCUACCAAACAGCUUCAGUUGCCGAGCCCUUCCCCAAUCCAUCCACUCACGUGCAUGAUCAUCUUGGGCGCUGACACGAAGUCCUCUCCGUCACCCGCGCCGCCGUCGCCGCCCUCGCCCAGCCCCGUGGCCAGCACCUCGCGCGCCGCCGCCAGGUUGGCCUCCCCCGUGGACUGCAGCCCCACCACCACACACAUGCCGCGCCGGAGCGCAUCAGCCGCCAACUCGGCGCAGCGCUUCACCUGGGUGACACACACAUGCCACGUGCAUUGGGCCAAUGAGCUUGAUGUUUAUACUGUAUGUUGUAUAGGAGUUGCGGCUGUUGCGGUAAGCCAAAACUGUAUUUUCGUCAGUAAGCCGCGGCCAGCUCACAGCCGCGUGCCCAGCAUCACCCAGCCAUCUCCUCUGUCACUCCCACCUUGCUGGCUAUGAGCAUCUGCCUGUAGAAGCGCUGGUGCGCGGACCAGAACAGCGCGGCCUUGGAGUCGCGGCCGCCGCGAUUCUUGGCGGCGGCGCGCGGCAGCUGGCGCAUCACGUUCCAAAGCAGCCCCCACAGCCGGCAGCUGCGGUCGUACAUGACCCUGUGAAGAGGCGUGGCAACGCAUAAAACUGUGGCAUGCAGUGAUGGAGUCUGCAGGGCGCCGGGCCAUGCUUCCCAUGCUGCUGCGCAGUGCACACCUUGUCGCUUAAGGACAGAGCACCUCAUUCCCCCACCUGAACACGGGGUCUGGCUCCAGCUCCUCGGUGAUGAACUCGGCGCCCUUGUAGCUGAGGGUGCGGCUGACGUAGGUGCCAGUGGCCUUGAGCCCCAUGCAGAACAUCUCCAGCGCGCCCAGACCAGACCUGUGGAGGGAGGCGGGCAGGUGCAGGUUGGUGGGGUUAGAGGCGGAGGACCGCAGUGAAGGCGAAGUGUGGCCGUCUCGCUCAAGCCCCGUGCCUGGUCAGCCAUCGGUGGCAGGUAGGGAGACUGCAGCAUGGAAGGUUGACACUUGACAAUGUCACCCUCCGUAAUAGUUUGGGUGUUUAAGUCUAACAGUAGCCCUGACUUGUAUUUGUGCAGUGUUGGCAGCCUCUACAGGAACACCGCUCUCCGCCUUUCUUUCCAUGCCCUGCCCCUUCCGCUCCCCACCUCUUGAGCGCGUUGAUCAUGUCGCUGAUGUGCGGGUAGCCGAACGCACCCAGCCGCACCUGGGGACAGGAGGGGGGACAGGAAGAAGAUAUCAACGAUCCGCACACCCAACUUAUUCAUUAUGCCGCCGCGUCAGACAAGCGACCCAAGAGGCUCGGAUACAGCCGGGAACCCGAGCCUCACCAUGUACCGCAGGUUGUCCGGCUCGCUGGCCCCAGUCGCGGAGCUGUACAGUACGCGGGCGUUGGGCAGCUGGUCCUGAAGCGCCUCCACCGCCAGCCCAGUCUGGCUGGAGUCUGCGAGGACCGGUGUGCGGGCAUGUGCAGUAAGGUGGUGGCCGUGGACGGCAGGGAAGAAGCUGGUCAAGACGGGGAUUUGCGUACUGAAGAGAGGCAAGCGGAACACCAGGUCAAGCGGGUGACACGGCAGGAAAUAUGGGCUUCCGGAAGUGUUGUGAGGGGGAGGACCGCAGGUUGGGCAACUGCAGCCUCAGUGCCGCCUACAGGCACGCCAAGGUUCCCGUACGCCCCGCCCUCUUCCUCCACAGCUACUCACUCCCGGCCGCGUCCAGCAGGUUCUUGGCCUUGUGGCACUCAUCCAGAAUAAUCAGGCAGUCGCCUGAGGGCGGCCAAAUAAGGUGGUUGUAGGCGCAGGGCAAAGGCAAAGGAGGUAACAAGGGCCACCGUGGCAUCUGCACCAUGUGACCGGCAGAGGCGCACGCUUUGGGAGCAGCUGAUGAGCUCACCCUGCGCGCCAGCAGCUGUGGCAUUCCAAAGUCCAAACCCCCAUUGGCACCGCAGAUCCGCUGGCGUGCGAUCAGGCGCUAUCGCUCCCUACCCACCUCCGCCGCCCUCGCCGCCCAGCCAGCCGACGAUCUGGUGCAGGCGGCUGCCCGCGCCGAACAGCCGCCGCACCUCGGCCCGCUUCAGCUCCAGUGCGGCUGCAACAGAAGGGCGUAAGAGUGGGCUCGAGCCUAACAAGUACGUACAAGUGCCUACAGCAUGUAUGGGGAGGUGCAGCUGCAGCCACAGGUUCAGGUGAGGGAAGAGCCGCUACAAGGGUACUGUGCUGCAACAGGGCCGCGCCUGCCGUGUGGUGCUUCGACCAGACACUCACAUGCCGCUUGUCCCAUCUCGUCCGCAGUGGCGGCCGCUGCGGCCGCCGCGCCUGGAUUGCCGCCGGCGCGCCGCCCGCGGCCGCGCCCGCGGCCGCCCACACUGCCGCUGGCAGCGCCGCUGCGCGCACCGCCCCGGGCUCGUGGCCCCGGCGGCGGCUUGUAAGAGCCCUGCAAGCGGGGAUGCGGCCAUGGAAUUGUUGUAGCAUGCUUCCUGACUCAGUGGCCUAAUACUGCAACCGUCCGGCUUGUGCGUCAUCCCUGUCCUCUUGCCCAGACGGAUCAGCGGCCCCUUCCCCGUGCCUGCCCACCCCGCACCUUGGACACCAGUAGCGAGUAAGUGACGAACAGCACGCCCCCGCCCGGGUAGGCAGCGGCCAGAGAACCGGAGGGCACGUUGUCCUUGCGCUGCAAAGGAAGGCGGGGAUGGUGCGAUGAGGUAAUGAGGUGAUGGCACCGGUGUGGAUGGCUGGACGCAACUUUAAAAACCCAAAUCGGGUUUGGAUAUCCAAAGGCACCCUGCCAGCACCCACACGCUUCCACAGCCCAUUCUGUCCUCAAGCAAUCAAAGCGAAACAGCAACAGCCCCCAGCGUGCCCCUGUGCGUUUGUGUGGACAUCACUCACUGGAGGGUACACGGGUAUGUGGUCCUCAGCCACACCUAGAUCAGCCAGGUCUCGGCGGGCGUCGUAGCGCAGGUCGUUCGACGUGGACACCCACAGCACCCGCCGCCCCCCCGUGGCCCAGAACUCUUUAAUCACUGCACGAACGGUAGUUGGGGCAUGGGAAACCUUUCCUUGUUUAUAAGGGUAGGAUGUGUGUCGGCACAGGGACUACACUUGUCAAGCGCGUCCAGUGCCCAUGCUUACCAAUGCCCGUGCAACAUCCCCAUAAGCCCACCGACGUCCUUGUCUACUGCCUCCUAAACCCUGGCAUGCCCACUUACCCGCUGCGAUCUGUCGACCCUUGCCCACACCCGCGCCGUCACCCAGAAAGAAGCCCGCGCGCGAGCCUGUGGUUUUGGAAGACGCACGAGCCAGAAGAAUGUGUCAAUGAACCAGAUUACAGAGGCUCCGCGGCAAAAUGCUCACGACGAUUGUGUAACCCCAGCCAUGUGCCAGCUGUCCGCAAAGACUUUGUCCAGCGCGUUGCGCCCAAGGUUCAUGACGCUCCCCACUGCCACCGUCUCCUCCUAGGUAUUGCUGACCUCCUUCCACUUAAUCCCUUCCCUAGGCCUCACCAUCGGGCAGCCUCCUCCCGAAGCGCUGGAAGGCGUACAGCACCGUCUCCAGCUGCGCGUUGGACAGCUCGGCCCGGGCCAGGUUGUCCUGCAUGUGGGUCAAGGCGCAGUCCAUGCGUUUGACACUGGAGCAGCAGCCGCGCUUGAGAAGCGCACCGCGUGCCCUCCCGAACCAGCAUGCUCAUGCCCACUCUGCACACGUGAGAGUCUCCUGAGCACUCGCGCACCUGCAGGUGGUGGCUGUAGGUGAUGUCGGGCGGCGUCACGGACGCCAGCGAGGCCGUCUCCACGAUGGGGUCCGGGUGCGGCGGCCCCUCGAGUACCUUGGCCGGCCUGGGGGAAACCGGAAGGGCGAAGGGCGCAUCAAGUUGAGGUCAAACUCUCGUGUGCUUACGGCUGGCACGUCCCUAGGCACGCCGCACGUAGGGGGCGCCUCCACCACAGCAGGCGUGGCGGCGGUUAACCUCCCUCGUCGCCGACAAGUCCCGCCCCCGUACACGCGACACGCGCGUCCUUUCCACCCGCGACUCACUGGUACUGCUCAUAAAUGUCCACGUCACCGCCCUGCACCAGAUCAGGGUUUGGGCAGGCAGCGCGCCGGUCAAUCCAGACAAGGCAUGUGGUAUGAGGACAUUUACACGAGUGGCUCACGCUCAGACUCUGCGGACUGCCCAUGCGCUACCAUUAUGCGUUUGCACACAUGGUAUGUAAGGAAUGAGCAAUGAACUAUCGUUGUGCAAACCUGCCGACUCCAUACUCCAGUACAGGAAGCCCCGUAGCCAUAAUCCCCAGCAAUAACACCGCAUACGUGCGUACCCUCACCUCGUCGUCCGCAUUUCCCUCCUCAUGCACCUGCGCGGCUUCCUGAUGCUGCUGUGCCUCUUGCUCCCGCUCCCGCAGUUGCCGUUGCCGUGCUUCCCACUCCCGUCGUGCGUGUUCGGCUUGCUCUUGCUGCAUCCGCACCAGCCGUGCCGCAGCUUCCGCCUGUUGGGUUGCGUAGGCGCUUGCAGCCGCGCCCGCCUGCUGAGCUCCUGCAAGCGCCGGUGCUGCCGCAGCUGCUGCUCCUGCCACCCGGUUGGCGAAGGCCGACGCCGGCACGGCUUGCCGGGCUGCUGCGGCCGCGGCUGGGCCCCCAGAGCCCGGCACAGCACCUGUCACCUGGCGCUGAGCUGCCGCGAAGACCGCAGCUGCCGCCAAGGCAGCCGCCGUGUAGUUGCUGUUUCUCGAGGCACCUGCUCCAGUAGUCACCGGCUGCCUCUCAGCAGCAGGCGCAGGCGCAGGAGUGGGCGCUGGCUGAACACUUGUCGCAGCAUGACCAGCACGCUGAAGUGCCUGGGCGGUGAGCGCCCGCGCGUUGGCAUCAGCAUGGCCAAGUCGUCUGUAAUACUGGUAGACCUGGUUCCAGUACUGGUCCAUUUUGCAAGUUUGCGGGUCAUGUGCCGACCGGCAGCGUGUGUGCCUUCGCUCAGUGCGUUGCUAUAACUAGUCUACCAUUAUCGUUUGUUAGGCCGCGAAAAAGAGCAAAUCAACGGGCGGAGCGAAACCUCUUGUUCGCUUGUUCAAAUCUCAGUUCAUAAAGUUUGCAGGGCGCUGCAUUUGCAUUACUCGGAAAGUGAAUGGAAUUGUACACUAAUGACGUUAACGGCGUAAGGUAAUGAAAUUUGCAUUGGGCCUUGCCGGGCAUCGAUCCCGAGCUCUUCCCUUCGCUGGCAUCACCCCAUGCCCACACACACUGAUACCCUGUGAAGGUUGUCAACCUCCUCGGGCGUAUCCGAGCCCUCCCCUUCGCUACCAUCCCCACUAACUCUGGCUCUUGACCCUGACCCUGCACUCUGACCCUGACCCUGACUCUGACUCGUCCACCUGCCCCACUCCACCUGAACUUGAACCUGAACCUGACUCUGACCCUGAUCCUGACCCUAACCCUGCACUCUGACUAUGGCUUUUGACCCUGACUCUGACCCACCUAAAACCCUGCUACACUAACCCAGGUGGAGUGGUGCAGGUGGACGAGUCAGAGUCAGGGUCAGGGUCAGGGCCAGGGCCAGGGUCAGGGUCAGAGUGCAGGGUCAUAGUUUAGGUUUGGGGUUUGGGCAGCAGGGUCAGUGUAGCAGGGUUAGUGUAGCAGUUUUUUUGGGUGGGUCAGGGUCAGGGUGCAGGGUCAGGGUCAGAGCAGGGCAGAACGUGGUUAGGGCCCUUCUCGCCUGCGGCGGUGGUGGAGCCCCUGGAAGAUGCAAGCCCUGGGUCAGAGUGCAGGGUCAGGGUCAAGAGACACACGGAUACCCUGAUGCGGCAUUGACUCGCAGAUGGCUCCAGCAACACGUGUGCGCAUGUUGCAAAGAGACAAACCGGGCUCUCAGCCCAACACCAUGUGCCCGCGUCUCCUGUGGCAAGCCUCCUUCGUGCGAUGUGCGGUUCCCCGCGACAUGACCAGUCCAUCACGCGGCGUCAAUCACGUUUGGCUCGUAUCUUAAGAAGGCAGGCGAGAUUUCCGAAAACAGGCAUCUUUGAUUUGCAGAAACCUGGUGCCGCCGCAUCUUUCAUCCCCAAGAAAUUUUCCGGGGGCUCCGCCCCCGACCUAUGCUCGAUUCGUGUCAGGCCAGGUGUGUGUCAGGCUUGCCCUGUUGCAGCGUGCCAAAUGCAGCUGCAGUUGCCCCCGGCCCACGUUUCGGCUCAGGCACUGCUAAUAUUCUGCCGCACGGCAUUUGUCGCUGUUACAGCGUGCGGGGGGAGGUUGCUGUUGCCCCCAGCCUACGUUUCGGCUCAGGCACACCAAAAUAUUCCGCCACACGGCAUGUGCCAUGGUUUCGCCGUGCGGGGGGAGGUUGCUGUUGCCCCCAGCCUACGCUUCGGCUCAGGCACAGCAAUAUAAUCCGGGCAUGCGCCAUUGUUUCAGCGUGCGGAGGGAGGUUGCUGUUGCCCCCAGCCUACGUUUCGGCUCAGGCACAGCAUGCAAAAUAUUCCGCCGCACGGCAUGCGCCAUUGUUACAGCGUGCGGGAUGGGGUUGCUGUUGCCACGUUAACACAACGUUGCUGAAAAAAGCACCGGCUCCAUGGCUCCAUGGCAAAUCGUGGCCCAUCCCCACGCCAAACCCCAGCGCCCUCACCCAUGCUCAUCAUGCUCACUCACCCACGGCAUGACUCCCCUUGUAGAAGGCUGACCUAUCGUGGUGUGCCCCCAUGGUACCAGCAGGACACGGCCGUAGAUUAUCCUGGGAACCUCAGUCACCCUUGCCUUGGGCCGGACAAGUGACAGAAACACCCCCAAAUGUCUUCUGCGAUUCUCAGAAAGACCCUCCGAAGCCUGAAGCGUUCUGUUUAUAAGACAAGAAAAGGUGGCUCUCCCUCGCAAGGGAAAAGUGGGCUGAGCCCACGCCACGUCCUCCGUCUGAGGCCGAAGGUUCCGAUACUAGCCUCAUCUCCCGGACAUAGCCGGGGUCGGUUUGUACAGGCACCGCCCGCCAUAUGUGCCCAGUCGCGCCCAGCUAUCAAGCACUAGUGCAGCAGGCAGCAGGCCAACCAGACAGCAAGGAAAACCUCUCAACACCCUUGCCGCUGCAGCUGACUGCCCGCUACGCCAUCCUCGUCAGCACAGGUCGCUAACCAGACAACACCGGCAGGUCUCAACCUGCGCGCCGGCGCCGCUUUGAAGGCGGCGCCGCGCUGUCCUCCUCCACGUGGCCUUGCCCGCAUCCUCUGCUCCGAACAUGCGCGCCGCCACUGCCACUGCCGCUGGGCCCAGGGCCGCCCGUGCCGCCACCACCACCGGGCCCAACGCUGUGGCCGCUGCUGUUGCCGCCGGUAGGCGCGGUGCCACCACCGCCGCCACCGCCGUCUCCAGGCCCUGCACCGCCGCCACCGCCACCGCCACCGCCACCGCCGCCGCCAGGCCCUGCACCGCCACCGCCGCCAGCAGGUCGCAGGGCUGCAGGCCGCGGUUUGCCAAGCAGCAUCUCCAUCAGCGCGUGCCGCAUGUUUGUAGCCGAGUUGGCGUCGCGGCCCUGCAGUUCAACAUGCAAACAGGGCGUGUGUCAUCCCGUGUGUCACCCCGUAUCACCUCCAAACCGCCCUGUGUCAUCCCGUGUCAUCCCUUGUCAUCAUCUCCAAACCGACCUGCCGCCCCAAACCUGCCAUCCCACUUACCCACACAGUCGCCUGCGGCAGUUGGGGCGAAGCACGCCAGGGAGACGGGCCGUUCGCUGGGGGGGGGGGGCUCAGCCCAAAAAGCAAUGAUGUCCAUUGCGUUGCGGACUGCUGGCUGGUGCUGCAGUGCAUCCGGGGGGGGGGGCAGCAAGAAGGAGAGCGCUGUGAUGGCAGUGCAGUUUGGGUGUUUAGAGGCGGGUGAUGUCAGCAAACCUGCCGCACCUCGUAUCGGAGACGUGCUUGAAAAAACGCAACACGCUCAAGCGAACAUGACGUUGUAGAGCCGAGGCCAGUGAGCUAGCACAAGCAAAAAGGAAAGCGUGAGCAUGAGCAGCGACCGCAACUGCUACGUUACCUUUGACGAGAUAACCGCGCGCCAAGCUGCGCCACUCCGGCGUCCUAAAGCUUGUGACUCUCAGCUGGUGUAUACGGCUGUCAGAGGCUGGGCUGGCGUAGACUGGCCGCAGACUACCAUCGCUUCGCUCGGGGGGCUCAGCCCAAAAAUUUCUUCGGCCGGAGGCUUCUUGGGGCAAAAAGAAGGAAGAUACGAGCCCUGUGUACGCGCUGUUAGUUUACAUGCCCAUAUGCCGCGUCACCACUAUCUCCAUGUGUGCUAUACGGUACCCCGAACGCCAAAUGUCAGUACCGCAGCCAUGGCAGGUCACGCGAAUCCGGCAAAGCAGGUCUGUCGUACCGCUGCUCCUAUGACACUACUCGCAGUUCCAUAAUGCGAUGCCGGCACAGCACUCAAGCACGUGCACUCAAGCACGUGCUACUGGGUGAGGCGGCUCUCACGUUGUCUACUCAAAUGCGAUAUUCGAACAUAUCAAUGUAUUAAGGCUUUCCUCCUUCAUACCACAUGCAUGGUCCCGAAGUCAGGGCGUGGACAAUUGGAGCCAACGGGUUGCUGAUGACUUGAUGGCUGCUAACGGCGCACAAAGCCGCAUACGAUGCAAGCAGAACCACCCGGCCACGCACACGCACUCAGGUUGCCUUUGGAGGUUUCUUGCAUGGCGUCACAUCACGAGAGCCGCUCCUACCCGCCACCAGUUUCUCACAGGAGCCGGCUGACCACUCUCAUCGUCCAACCCGUCAACGGUUCCCACAAGGCCCACAACUCCAUGUGCACACCGCCACCAGCUGCUCGCUAGCGCAAGAGGCGGUCGACCGCCUCAUCAAGCUACGCCUGCAGAUGCACUGCAGGCCUGAUGGCAGGCCAGCCAGGUUGUCACACCGCCAUCGCACAAACAGUCCUGCAGGGUUUCUUCCUUGUGCGCAUGCUCGCGGUGGUGCACGCCCGCAGCUUGGCCACGAAGCCCUCGUUGCUCAUCAGCUGCACCGCCUUGUCCAGCAGCGCCUGCACCGGCAGCCCAGGCAGCCCGCGUGUCCGCGCGACCAGCUGCCGCUGCAGGUCAUCCAGGCUCCCGGGCUGCGGAUCGCGGAAGUCCUUGCUGCCGAGCGCCGCGGACAGCCACAGCAGCAGGAUUGGGAAGGCCUUGCAGUACAGCUCGUUGCCCGGCUGCCGGCCGGAAGCGGCUGCCUCCUCGUGCACUGUUGCCCACACGGCCUUGCACACGGCGUCAAAGUGCCGUUCCCAUGCUGACGGCCCCACCUGCACGUGUGGCACACGUGCAUAUGCGUAGGUGUGGGUGGAUGCAGGAUGGUGUGCGGCGGUAUCUAAAUUAAGAACACGUUGAAAGUUAUCACCAGAUUUUACCACACCUCACAUGCCAGAUGGCAUUUAUCCGCGCCACUGUCCGGGUAUGAGCGUAGUAUCGAUUGCGCGCUGGGAGAGGUUGGUGGGGGACGGAGUGGGAUGGGAUGGGGGCCCUGAAAUACUCCGGCAGGGCAUGACCGAAAGCUGGCGGUUGUAGCCCCUCCCCUCACAUUCGCCCGGUCUAGAGUAGCUACCGCAACAAACGGCGGCGGCGGCGGCGACGGUGGAGGAGCAGGAGGUCCAGCAGCACGCCGCAGCAGGCAGCUGUGGGCCUACUGGAGGCGCCGCAGCGCAACAACACCGAUUGCCAAAGCCACAGCCAGUGCGAGUGCGAGGGCUUCCUUGCGUUCGGCGGCGUGCUUGGCUGUGGCGCUGGCAAUCGAUGUUGUUGCGCUGCGGCGCCUCCAGUAGGCCCACAGCUGCCUGCUGCGGCGUGCUGCUGGACCUCCUGCUCAUCCAUCACGGCCGCCGCCGCUGCCCCCUAUGCCCCCACCGCCGCCGACGCCGCUGCCCCCAUGGCCGCUGCAUUCCGCAGCACACCUGCUGGCUGCUGAGCAUCCCCACCCGCCGGAGACCCGCCACUUGAGGCGACGGGAGACAGCAGGGGCAGCACUGCCAGAGGUGACUCCGCCUGCUGUCCUGCCUGGGCCUCGCAGUGCUGGCUGCGGACCUCACAGACGCCCGCAGAGUGUUCGGAGUUGCACCGGCGAAGACAUGACAACGAUGAAGGCCCACUCGCCCGCAGCGCAUUCAUCUCUUGCGCGCCACCAGCGCUCGCCCCCCCACAGACGGGCAAAUCAGAAAAGUCAGAAUGUCAGCAUUAGAGCUGCCUACUUCUGGAUGUAUGCAUGCUGGUUACUCCAGCACGCACGCGGCGCAGGCCGGUUGCACGCAAGGCAGCGGCGCAUCUACUGAACUAGCAAACCGUAGCAGCCAUACUCGAACGCACGGCAGUCCGCAGAGUCGUAAGCAUGACGGCAUCUGAGCUGUCCGACCUAGCCCACUCGCGUUUUAAGCAGCUCGCGUGUGCGCGCCUCCCCCUUGCUUGCUUCACCAUGUCUCUGGCCGUCGCGCGCCUCGCCUCGCUGGCCUACCUUGCAAUGCGCCAUGUCUCGCGAGGCAGCUGCGGUGGUGGCGGCGCCGCUGGCGGCAUCAACGCCAGCAGCGCAGUCGCCCCGGGCGUCCCGCGGCUGACGAACAGCAGCAGCAGCAGCGGCCGCUGCUGCCAGCGGCGGCCUGCUCCCAGCAGCAUCCGCGUUGUCCUGAGCAGGGUGGCGUGGGGGCUGCUGGUUACGGUAAGGUACCGUACUUCUUCACAAAUGCGGGCUCGACUACCAGCUGGCAUUCCGUCUGCGCCAAGAAUGCAACGGCGCUUGCCAUGCCUUGCUCCACUCACCGUGCCUCCAGCUGGAGCAGGCGGCGUUGUGGCGGGUUGGUGGGGUGGCGGCUCUNNNNNNNNNNNNNNNNNNNNNNNNNNNNNNNNNNNNNNNNNNNNNNNNNNNNNNNNNNNNNNNNNNNNNNNNNNNNNNNNNNNNNNNNNNNNNNNNNNNNCCUUGCGUUCGGCGGCGUGCUUGGCUGUGGCGCUGGCAAUCGAUGUUGUUGCGCUGCGGCGCCUCCAGUAGGCCCACAGCUGCCUGCUGCGGCGUGCUGCUGGACCUCCUGCUCAUCCAUCACGGCCGCCGCCGCUGCCCCCUAUGCCCCCACCGCCGCCGACGCCGCUGCCCCCAUGGCCGCUGCAUUCCGCAGCACACCUGCUGGCUGCUGAGCAUCCCCACCCGCCGGAGACCCGCCACUUGAGGCGACGGGAGACAGCAGGGGCAGCACUGCCAGAGGUGACUCCGCCUGCUGUCCUGCCUGGGCCUCGCAGUGCUGGCUGCGGACCUCACAGACGCCCGCAGAGUGUUCGGAGCUGCACCGGCGAAGACAUGACAACGAUGAAGGCCCACUCGCCCGCAGCGCAUUCAUCUCUUGCGCGCCACCAGCGCUCGCCCCCCCACAGACGGGCAAAUCAGAAAAGUCAGAAUGUCAGCAUUAGAGCUGCCUACUUCUGGAUGUAUGCAUGCUGGUUACUCCAGCACGCACGCGGCGCAGGCCGGUUGCACGCAAGGCAGCGGCGCAUCUACUGAACUAGCAAACCGUAGCAGCCAUACUCGAACGCACGGCAGUCCGCAGAGUCGUAAGCAUGACGGCAUCUGAGCUGUCCGACCUAGCCCACUCGCGUUUUAAGCAGCUCGCGUGUGCGCGCCUCCCCCUUGCUUGCUUCACCAUGUCUCUGGCCGUCGCGCGCCUCGCCUCGCUGGCCUACCUUGCAAUGCGCCAUGUCUCGCGAGGCAGCUGCGGUGGUGGCGGCGCCGCUGGCGGCAUCAACGCCAGCAGCGCAGUCGCCCCGGGCGUCCCGCGGCUGACGAACAGCAGCAGCAGCAGCGGCCGCUGCUGCCAGCGGCGGCCUGCUCCCAGCAGCAUCCGCGUUGUCCUGAGCAGGGUGGCGUGGGGGCUGCUGGUUACGGUAAGGUACCGUACUUCUUCACAAAUGCGGGCUCGACUACCAGCUGGCAUUCCGUCUGCGCCAAGAAUGCAACGGCGCUUGCCAUGCCUUGCUCCACUCACCGUGCCUCCAGCUGGAGCAGGCGGCGUUGUGGCGGGUUGGUGGGGUGGCGGCUCUCCGCGGCUGCUGGCGCUGGUGCACACAGCAGACACCUGCGCCGCACAGCGCGAGGGCCUGACUGGCUGCGCCGUGCUGGGGGCAGCCUGCGGGAGGCUGCAAUGAGACACGUCGCCUGCAUGUGACAGCGCCAUGGUGUCAGGGUGGCAAACCUCAGCGUUACGCGAUGUGGGAUUCAAUGGCCAGAAGCCCGGCGGCAGGGCAUAGCUGGCGCACACUGGAACCGGAACAGCUGUAUCCGCCCAGUCCACUGUCCGCCCGCCCGCCUGGCCCGCCGCACCUGACGGCGUGUCCACGUGCACCUGGUGCUGCGCCACCACCUUGACAGCGCUGUGCCCGAUGUUCACAAUGGCCUCGUCGUAGUCGCCGGCGGAACGGGCCUGAGAGGACACGUGUGUUUGUUUGCGGGCGUGCCCAGGAGGUUGGUGUCGACCAGGCUUAGCACAGGCUGGAAGCCAGGGGUGCCGAAUUGACCCGGUGUGAAGGUCUUGCGGUCGAAGUCGAUGGGGCGGCUGUAGCCCAGGUCCGCCAGCUGCACCACCAGCCCCACCACCAGCUCACCGAUGAACCUGAGCGUGACUAGCACGUUGCUGGGCUGCGGGUGGGGGCAUGGGAAGGCGGGGGAGGGUGGGGGACAGGCGGCGGGGGCGGUCAGUAAGAUAAUAGCAGACACGGCGCGCAGGCCCACAGCAUCUGUAACUCAUAAGCGAUCGCAUCACGCGUCGCACUCACCAAGGCAGUGCACAGCCCAUGCCCCCACAACCUUCCAUCACCCAGCCCCGGCUCCUCUUCCUGGCUCCUACAUUCAACUCCCUCCGUCUCACCUUCCAGUCGCGGUGUAUGACACCGCUGUCCCACAGCACCUUGCCGCCCAUCAGCAGCGGCACGGCCGCCCGCAUGGCCCAGUAGACCAUGCUGGGGCGGGGGCGGGGGAGUCAGUUCUCGAUGACUGAAAAAAAGGGGCGCGGCGGCAGUUGCAUACGGCGAGGGAUCCGGUGCUAUGCGGCAAUGCAGCCAAGCAAUGACGGCGCACACCCACGCUUGGCAAGACACGCUGCGGCAAGGCACCGUCGAAGUGACUUACACGUUGAUGAAUAGCAUGAUUGGCAUGUACGACGAGCACAGCGCCCGGAGCAUCAGGGCCCGCAGCAUGUACUGCAGGGAGUUCACACACCUUUGUUAGCUAGGUGAUGAUCAUAUCGAGCAAAUCGCUUGGGGAGGCAGAGCGGAAAGCCCGAAACGCAUCCCAGAUAGCACCAGGCCCGAGGUGCCCACAAAGUGCAGGCAGGAAGGGCAUGCCUUUAUCCUGAUCUGGGUCACCAUGGAGCCCUAUCUUUCUUGUCGGUGUAGGCGGCAAUCAAUCGGCACGCACCCAGCAGGCCAGGGAUGCGGCACAAAAUCAUACUCAACCCGUAAUCCGUGUGCACAACACGAGCGGCUACCCACCUGUAUGGUGCACGAGCAGCAUUGGCGCCACGUUGGAAGCACCGGCACCAAGACCGAGGCAUGCAUGGGGAAGGCAAGCAAGUGAGGGAGGGGUCAGAGAAGCGAUGUGCGCAAGGCACACGGGCCAGCUGGCCGUGUCGCGGGGGGUUGCGCCGCAUGGGAAAGCGUGUUGUGGCAGCGGCGACGGACCAUGACCAUGCACCAGACCACAUGUAAAGUUAGGAUCCCUCUCCGGCAGCCGCGGCCACGCCAUUGCCAGCCCUUACAUGAAAGCCUUCACACCGUGCACCCUGCCCAGCUAGCCCCCGUCCUAGCCGGCUGCCUGGACGCCUGAGUCCUGCAACGAUGGGUGGAAUCUACGAAUCCGUUGGCUGCGUCCCAGCCUACCCAAAGUGCUGCACACGAAAUCCCACCUGCAUGCUCCAGGUGCGGUGCACCUGCGUGGUCUUGGUCAGCUUCAUGACGGCCUCCACCUUGUCCGCAUCCUUACCCUUGCCCCUGCGCACCGCCUUCCCGGCAUCGUGCAACAGGUGCCGCGGCGGCAGCAUCACGCCGCCGUCCUCACAGCGCGUCACCGUCACCGCGGCCACCGUGCCCUGGCCCUGCACAGAGCAGCAAGCGGAUGACAGGGGGCAAAGUAAGAGACCACGCAGCACAACAACAAUACAGGCGGUGCGCUUACGCUCCCGAGGAGACUCCCACGCCCUUCCAACUCCGUGCAGUGUGCCAGAUAAACCAGCGCCGACUGCCGCUACGGCCAGUGGUGAUUGCCUAACUCCCGCAUGGUGACCCACUCAAUCCUUGUGUCGCAGCCCUCUAGGAAGCUUGCCCCUUCGAUCGCCCUCCUCAACCGUUUGCAUUUGACUCGGUUUAGCUUGGGCUGGCAUUUCCACCCCCCACCCCCCGGCUUCCUUGUGCUCCUACCCUCAACCGCACUCCUCAUCUGUUCUGCUCCAGAGCCCCUGAUGAAACCUGUUCAUCCGGCUUGGGCACGCAUAACCCAACCGCUCGUGUCUCCUGCUGUUGUCUACGCGCCUCGUGCGGUGACUGGGUCGUUGCCGACUCCCCCACCCUCCCAUCCCACCACCCGCCUCUCACCCCUGCUUCCAGGUCGCCGCCGAACUGAAGGUUCUCGACCUCGGGGCCGCCAUGCUUGACGAUGGCCUUGACUGCAGCCUCCACAGUGGAGGCCUCGGGCACAGACGGCAGAGACUCGGCAACCUGACCCGCGGGAGCGCGCGGCCUGGCCGGGAAGAACUGACGCACCGUCUCGAAGACCGUCAUCUGGGUAGUCUGCGCAAAAGCCCAAGGCAGUAGUGUAGCAGGGCCCACACGCAGCAGACAGUGCUCGGCAGCCGCGUUGGGGCGGGAAUGGCGGGCGGCCCAAAAGCUUCCGAGUUCCGGAAGUCUAGCCUGCGCUCGCGGCCGCAGCCGAGACUCGACCACACUCGCACUGUGCCCGCCCCUCCCCCGUUCCCGCGACCCACCCACACGCCCCUAGCUCCUCGCCAUCGUGACCCGCGAGUCUCGACGCCUCAAAUACCCGCGCAGGCCUGGCUCCAAGUCGCCUACCUGAGUGCCGCCGUUACAAGCCGCCGCCGCUAUAAGCCGCCGUGUGCGUUGUGCGCAUUCCCAGGCGCGGCAGCUUGCGAAAUCUCUGCGCAGUGGAUAGGGGCAGGAAGUCGCGGAGAAGAGCAAGCAGCAGCAACAGAAGACCCCGGCCUCAACCUUAACGCCAAGGAUGCUCCUGCGCCCACGUUCAGCAGCGACGCAACUUCAUCACCCACGCGUGCAACGCGUCUCCACGCGCACCUGAUUGCCAGCUACCGAGCCGCCUUAAUCUCACGCUCAGGUGCAGCCGCUUGGCGGGGGUCUGCGCGGCGAGGAGAGGUGAGAUUGCCGAGAGUUGUAGGAAGCAGCAGCUUCAACCAAGGGCCGCAGCACGGAGCUAGAGGCCUCCAAUCACAGGCUGCGGGGCAAAGCACUUGCCUGACUCGGCGAGGCAAAGGCACGCGCCGACUGCUGCUGAUAGAAGGAACUUGCAAUUUUGCAGCACCCGAGAAUGAAAUAGAGAGAAAGCCAAGAAAGGGCAACAUUCAAGCGGCAGGGGGAUUAGGCUUUCGUUUCCCGCCAUUUGCGAUGGCGGCGUCAUCAUACUGUAGGAGGCGAUAUACGUCUGCAGAGUGCGAGCUGCAGUGUAUGAAUUCAUUACACAGCGUUUCCUGACGCAGGCAGCUGGCGUGAGGUCAGCGGCGUAUUGUAGACGUGGCGGUGCUGGGGUUCGGCGCGGCCGGCGGGUGGGGCAGCGCGGGGGUUCCAGUCCGUUCCAGCUCGAAGGCCGGCGCGUGGCGGUGGGGGGCACCGCCACCACGCCACCGCCACGCCGCGGUUGCGGCCGCGCGCGCCGCCACCACCCCUGGCCCAAAUCUUGAACGCCCUAUUCCGCGCCAGUGCUGUGGCACCGCCUGAUGUGGCACUCGGUCCACGCACACGCGCAUUCCCUGAACGCACACGCUGUAGCUGACUGUGCAGUAGCCGCCAGUGACUGCCUCCAGCUGGAGCUGGCGGCGUUGUGGCGGGUUGGUGGGGUGGCGGCUCUCCGUGGCUGCUGGCGCUGGUGCACACAGUAGCCACCUGCGCCGGCCUGGCUGCUGGCUUGCGCGGUGUCAGUGGCCGCCUGCGGGGGAUCCGGCAGGGAACUGCUGCUAGCUGUGCGGGGGCAGGGGCCGCCUGCAAGUGACAGGACAGUUGCGUCAGGUCAUGGGUACAUAGCCCGUGAGGGCAGCACAAAGCUGAAUGGAAGCACACCUUAUGUUGCACGGCGGUGUAGCCGUUGCCCCGACCCUUGUGGAUGCCGUCCUUGUCGACGGCCCCGCCCCGAUGCACAUCUUGGCCACCACCUGCAUGUCGGCGCGCCAUUGUGCGGCAAGUUGAGGUCCAAUGUCAGUCAGUUGCAGCUGCUAGGUGCGCGUGCUGCCAUGCCAGGUUGCCAAGACCAAGCAUAGAUGCAUGCAAUGGUCGUGCGCGCAGCGUCAAACCUGUCCCUCACCCUUCCAACACGCGUACCAAUUACACUCACCUCCUGCAAGAGCGGAGCCAUACUUGCUGCAGCGCCCGGGCUCGCCCUGCACCUGCAGUCGCAUGGCACGUGGAACUCUGCGUUUGAAUCAGCCCUGCAUCUGUGUCGCGCGACACAAUGCGCUCUUGCCGCAUACAGCUGGAUGCUGGGGGUUCGACAUGCGCACCUAUAGGUCAUUCCCCCACCACACCCGUUGUGGGGACACGCACCUGGAAACCCGCCUACUCCAGGACUCGGCGUCGUGGCUUCCUUACUCAUCUUCUGCCUCCUCCUACGCAUGCAGCAAAGGUGAAUCAGCGAGUAAUCACUCACACUUGACAGGUUCAUCACAGAGCGCGGACCACUACCGGCAACAAUGCAGCCAGCGACGCGCACGCCUGUGCAUACCUUUGACAUGACGCGCCUCCACGCCUUCUCCGCCUUCUUCACUUGCACCGCCGGCUCGCCCUGCUCAGGCUGCGGCGCCAUGCCCUGCGCCGCCCGCACACCGCCCGCGGGCUGCUGCUCCGGCGCACCCUGUGGCCCAGCGCCCUUCCCCGCGUCCUCAUCUUGUGGUGUGGGGCAUGCAUCAGCAAGGGGUCACUCGUCACCACGGGCAGCACCCAAAGCCCACAUGUUCAACAACGCCUUGACUACGGAUGCAGAGCAAAGCGCAAUGUGCUCUUGGGGCUAUUCACUGUCAGGAUCUCCUAUGAAUGCACGUGUGGAGUGAUGGAGAGGGUGGAAUAGGGACGCAGCGAUCGCAGGCAGCGCACGACGCAAGGGCGGGCGCAGCAAGCGACACAGGGACCGAUGAAGCUGCCAUAAGCCCCGCCAAGUGUCCUACCCCACUGGUCCUACCCCUUGAUUCACACAAACACCCCCAAUUGUGGGCAAACCACACGUCCAUUCACGCGCCCUCACCUACAGCAGCUGGCCCAGGCAGCGCACGCGGUAGCCCUUGCCGCAGUUGCCGCACAGCAGGAUGCUGGCGGGCUCAUCGCUGGCUUUGCACAGGUUGCACAUGGCGUCAUCAGCGCCCUUCGUCGAGCUUCUCCUCCGGCUCGCUCGACGUCGGAACGCAGGCGCCUCAGCAACUCCGGCAACUGGUGCUGUCGCGCCCCAGGGACGUGCAGCUGUCUCCGUGGCUGCAGGGCCACCAUAAAACCACCUGGUCAGUCAAGGGUGGUGCAAGGCGUUGGGAACUGCCUUGCAGGAAGGUGCCAAAACCAUGUGUGUGGUCGCCGCGCUGCUAACCCUCACUCACCGCUGCCCCGUCCUUGCUUCAGCCGACCACCUUUAGCCCCGGUCUUGUGAGCCACCCCUCCUUCAGAAUUUUGCAGCGGGUUCAUUGAGUAAGGGCCCUUGAGUAAGGGCCCUGGAAAGGGAGAGCGGCGGGGAUGUUGCACAUGUUGUAAGCGCAAGGCGUGAUGUCAUAAUCUGCAAGGUUCUUUUAGUACAACAUGACCCACAACAAGUUGAGCAGGCAAUGAAGCGGCGCUUCCCGGUGGGCACCCGAAAGCCUACCUCAUUGGGCCCGGAGGGCAGCGGGUGCGCCAGCGACGAGUGCAAAGUACUUUUGAAGCCCAUACCAACUGCAAGCCCUCGCUCGUUCAGACACGAGCUGUCAGCGAGUUUGCUCCUUCAGGGCCUGCGUGAUGCCGCGCACAUAAAUGAUGUGUCUGCAUACACAGUCUAAUUUUUUUGAAUGAGUUACCUUGAACGCGCGGAGAAAGGCCCCUGCACCGUCACCGACUCAGCCUUGCAGCAUGUUGGGCGGAGCCCCGACCGGCUGCUAUGGCCAGCAACUGUUUCCUUGCUCAGCCUCAAGCUGGGCAGCGGACUGAGUCGGUCGCAGGACGUUGCCACUGGCGAUGGUUGUUAUCAUUGCCUCGCAGUAAAUAACGUACUCUUGCGGAGUUUUUUUUGUAUUUCCAGAAAUACAAUUGCAGAAGGGGCGACGAGUCAAGUGGUAGGAUGGAGGGAGGCCGGUAAGUCGCCGGUUGGAAGAGGUUGGCAGGGGGUUUGGACAGGGUUCACGAUGUCGUACGCACCCCAAACUCUGGCAGCCAGAUCCGGGAGGUGGUUAACGUGGACUUGCGUGUACUGCCUGUGCUAUGGCUGCUAGACGGCUUGGCGUCCGGGGAACGUAUUCCGGCCCUGUCCGGCCUGCUUGGCACGGCUUGGCACGCCCGGACAUGGUCCUUGGGUCAGGAGGGUAGGAAAUCCGAAAAGUUGCCGGUGGCCUCUGGAUGUAAGGGUGAGCCGGGUACCCUGCCGAGCCAAAUUUGGCUGCGUGCGCGGGGGUUUGAAGCUGCCUGGGGCGGGUCGCCGCGGCAGUCCAGAUGCCUGCGCCGGGGGAUGGCAGAUGCCUGCGCGACCCCGCGCCAUCAGCACGGAUGCCUGCGCGAGGCAUUGCAGAUGCCUCGGGCGACCCUCCCCAUCAACUCCAGGUACGUGCGUGCAUUGCUCGUGGUAGCUGUACGGCCCGUCGCCGGCACCCGAAACUGUGCAUACAACCCGGCUACCGUAGGCAAUGGUGACGGUGGAUGGCACCGUGUCAAACCCUUGGGCCCCACCGCUGACCCAAUUGACAGGCCACGGCGGUAGUUUCCGACCUUUACCGCUUCUGUGCAUAGUGAUGCAUUCAGCACGCGGAGUUGUUACAUUCUCCAGCCAUCGUGAAGCAACUGUUUGGUAAUGCCUGGCCGGCCCCCGUUGAACAGUGUUGAACCCAGCUACUGAUCUCGGGGCUCCCCCAGCAAGCUCAGAUGCGCGUGCGCGGGGGUCAGGUUGCCUCUGGAACUUAGCUGCCAGACCAGACCCACCCCGCCAGAUGCCUGCGCUAGGCAACUUUCCCACCCUCCUUUGGGUCGACCGUAUAUGCUUGCCAAGUCUGUGUAAGCACCGCGCUUUGAAUCCAGUUUAGGUUGCCGUCGUCUACUGUACAUGUAGGGAGACUAAAUACAUGCUCCCGGGCUCAAGAACGCGACGCUGUGCCUCGUGGAGACAGCCACCUUCGCGACAUGCGACGGGGAAAUGCGUUGCCAUCCUUAUGUGUCAUAGAAGCUAACCCCUAAGCAGGGGCAGGUAGUUGUGCGCGGCCUGAGCGUCAUAUCCAAGAGCCCGUUUCGCGCACGCAUCCUAGCUCGCACGGGCACGCACGUCCGGCGGCUCGCCGAAGACAUUGUCCCGCAACAGGGGGCAGGCCAUUCUCUUAAACCACCACCACCACCACCGCCACAACCACCUACUUCCUGCGGUUCUACUUCCUGCGGUAUUCUUGCGUGUAGUGCUUCUGGCACCAGCCCCGGCAAAAGAUCGGCUUGCCGCACACAGCGAGCGCAGCCACCGCCACGGCGCGGAGGGGGGGGGGGCAGUGACCACGGUCUUACGCUUCUUCCAUCCCUUGGCUGCACGGUCCACCACGGGCCACCGCUACCUAGGAAUGCGUCGCCGAGCGACAGCCUGAGCUGCUGCACCAUCUAUAAAAAACCUGGGGGGAAGAUAUUUCGUAGGGAGAGGCAGCGUACAAGUUGCCGUUGAUGGGACGCCGGCUGACUGUGCCGGAGCAAUGGGGGCGCAGUAGCAGAGGCUGGCGGCGGCUGCGGUCCUCCGCCAAACUCACACACAGUCCCGCGGAGCAACAUGUGUGGACAUGAUUUUGCCCCACUCCAGACCGGCGUCAUACCCGUGUGCGCCAUACCCGUGUGCGGGCAACCUUCCAAUCCAGGUGCUGGUCCCCUCGCUCGCCAGCAAACACAUCAACCCGUUCUGACCUCGU